rnacentral:lncRNA from 1 species
UAAUUCUUUAAUUAAGCAUAAUAUGACAUGGAAAUAUAUUCAAGUGGGCGCAUAAACAAUAGUUAACUCAUCAAGAUUUCGCCUAUUAUCAACAUCCCACAUUUAAUUCAUUGUUAGUCCUCGAGAAAAAAAAUUAUGCUCUCUAGAGAUUCCCACACUCAACCAUUUUCCACUAACUCAUUACACCAAGAACAAUGUACAUACAUUACGUUUGCAGUGAACAAUCCUAGCACCAAGCUGACUCUCACGUGCCAUGCAAUAUUUACACUUCCUUAAACACUCUACACAGAAGUCGAGACUUGCUUUUCCAACAUAAAUCAUAUGCCCUCACAACCAAGACAAGAGAGUAAGUUGAAUCAACACAUUCGAAUCUCAUGAUCAAAUAUAUUUUAAGGACUCAUGUAGAUCAAAGAAAAUAUCACUCACCCUCACAAAUGAAGUCACAUGCAUGUAAUUGGUACCAUAGGCUUUCUCUUAUUAUAAAUCUCUAAUAAUGUAGGCUCACUCGAUCUAAAAUCAAGGACUUUUUCAUGGUUGUAAUGUGGGCAAAGGGACUGGUAGGGUAUAUUUAGGAAUAGUGACUAACCUUCCUAAGCACUUUAACAAGUCACGUACUUAAU